CCAUCUUCCCUGUGGAUUUUCCUUGUGACUCUUGUGUUUCUUUUCUUAGCUGGGCUUUGUGGUUUUUCUUGAACUUCCUGUUCAUGAACAUUGUUGAUUUUAGACUUUGAUAGGACUUCUCAAAGAUGAUGAAAAAUCCGAGACGUGGAAAUAGUAAUCAGAGUGAAGAUGAAAAGAAGCAAAGGAGCCCUCAUGAAAGAACCUCCAAGGGGCUGGAGACAUUGCAAUUAUAGAAACUAUUGACUUGUGUUUCCCAAGGAGGCUUGCUGGGGACAAACUGGCUGAUGUGUGCCAGAGAUCGGGGAGAGGAGAGGUGUCAGCUGCAGAGGAAGGUCGUUUCCGUGAACAUCAGCCUCUUUAGGAUGUGUCCUCCAAUGUUUCUCUUUCAAAUGUUUUUUUUUAAGGAGAAAACCUCUGUUGAUCCUCUGCAGUCGUAAUAAAAGAUAGCCCUGAUGUUU